AUCAAUUGCACACGUUUAUAACAUCUGCAUUGACGAGUUAUUAUUUUAAUAGAUGAUUUGAGUAUAUUUAUUAUUUAACCUGGAAAUGCUUAAUCGAUAUGAAGAAUGAAGGCGAUGUAUUACGUAACAUAUGGAAAUUGCAUCAUACCGUUGGCCGAUGUUUAAUUAUAUAUAGUGAUGCAACGAGAUAAAGUCCCCCAU
rnacentral:lncRNA from 1 species